AUGAACGCUGGCGGCGUGCCUCAUACCUGCCAGUCGAGCGAACAGAUAAGGAGCUUGCUCCUUUGACGUUAGCGGCGGACGGGUGAGUAACACGUGGGUAACCUACCUAUAAGACUGGAAUAACUCCGGGAAACCGGGGCUAAUGCCGGAUAACAUUUAGAACCGCAUGGUUCUAAAGUGAAAGAUGGUUUUGCUAUCACUUAUAGAUGGACCCGCGCCGUAUUAGCUAGUUGGUAAGGUAACGGCUUACCAAGGCAACGAUACGUAGCCGACCUGAGAGGGUGAUCGGCCACACUGGAACUGAGACACGGUCCAGACUCCUACGGGAGGCAGCAGUAGGGAAUCUUCCGCAAUGGGCGAAAGCCUGACGGAGCAACGCCGCGUGAGUGAUGAAGGUCUUCGGAUCGUAAAACUCUGUUAUUAGGGAAGAACAAAUGUGUAAGUAACUGUGCACGUCUUGACGGUACCUAAUCAGAAAGCCACGGCUAACUACGUG
rnacentral:rRNA from 1 species